CUGGCGGCGUGCCUAAUACAUGCAAGUCGAACGCUUCUUUCCUCCCGAGUGCUUGCACUCAAUUGGAAAGAGGAGUGGCGGACGGGUGAGUAACACGUGGGUAACCUACCCAUCAGAGGGGGAUAACACUUGGAAACAGGUGCUAAUACCGCAUAACAGUUUAUGCCGCAUGGCAUAAGAGUGAAAGGCGCUUUCGGGUGUCGCUGAUGGAUGGACCCGCGGUGCAUUAGCUAGUUGGUGAGGUAACGGCUCACCAAGGCCACGAUGCAUAGCCGACCUGAGAGGGUGAUCGGCCACACUGGGACUGAGACACGGCCCAGACUCCUACGGGAGGCAGCAGUAGGGAAUCUUCGGCAAUGGACGAAAGUCUGACCGAGCAACGCCGCGUGAGUGAAGAAGGUUUUCGGAUCGUAAAACUCUGUUGUUAGAGAAGAACAAGGACGUUAGUAACUGAACGUCCCCUGACGGUAUCUAACCAGAAAGCCACGGCUAACUACGAGCCAGCAGCCGCGGUAAUACGUAGGUGGCAAGCGUUAUCCGGAAUUAUUGGGCGUAAAGCGAGCGCAGGCGGUUUCUUAAGUCUGAUGUGAAAGCCCCCGGCUCAACCGGGGAGGGUCAUUGGAAACUGGGAGACUUGAGUGCAGAAGAGGAGAGUGGAAUUCCAUGUGUAGCGGUGAAAUGCGUAGAUAUAUGGAGGAACACCAGUGGCGAAGGCGGCUCUCUGGUCUGUAACUGACGCUGAGGCUCGAAAGCGUGGGGAGCAAACAGGAUUAGAUACCCUGGUAGUCCACGCCGUAAACGAUGAGUGCUAAGUGUUGGAGGGUUUCCGCCCUUCAGUGCUGCAGCAAACGCAUUAAGCACUCCGCCUGGGGAGUACGACCGCAAGGUUGAAACUCAAAGGAAUUGACGGGGGCCCGCACAAGCGGUGGAGCAUGUGGUUUGAUUCGAAGCAACGCGAAGAACCUUACCAGGUCUUGACAUCCUUUGACCACUCUAGAGAUAGAGCUUUCCCUUCGGGGACAAAGUGACAGGUGGUGCAUGGUUGUCGUCAGCUCGUGUCGUGAGAUGUUGGGUUAAGUCCCGCAACGAGCGCAACCCUUAUUGUUAGUUGCCAUCAUUUAGUUGGGCACUCUAGCGAGACUGCCGGUGACAAACCGGAGGAAGGUGGGGAUGACGUCAAAUCAUCAUGCCCCUUAUGACCUGGGCUACACACGUGCUACAAUGGGAAGUACAACGAGUCGCUAGACCGCGAGGUCAUGCAAAUCUCUUAAAGCUUCUCUCAGUUCGGAUUGCAGGCUGCAACUCGCCUGCA
rnacentral:rRNA from 1 species